UACAGAGGUCCCAAGCGUUGUUCGGAUUCACUGGGCGUAAAGGGUGCGUAGGUGGUUGGGAAAGUUUGAUGUGAAAGCUCGGAGCUUAACUCCGAAAUGGCAUUGAAUACUUCUUAACUUGAGGGUCGGAGGGGAGACUGGAAUUCUCGGUGUAGCAGUGAAAUGCGUAGAUAUCGAGAGGAACACCAGUGGCGAAGGCGAGUCUCUGGACGACUCCUGACACUGAGGCACGGAAAGCUAAGGGGAGCAAACAGG
rnacentral:rRNA from 1 species